rnacentral:rRNA from 1 species
GACAGAGGAGCCAAGCGUUGUCCGGAUUGACUGGGCGUAAAGCGCACGCAGGCGGAUGCGCGCGUGGGGUGUGAAAUCUGGCCGCUUAACGGCCAGGCGCCAUCCCAUACGGCGCGUCUGGAGUGAUGCAGAGGUCGAUGGAAUUGCCGGUGUAGUGGUGAAAUGCGCAGAUAUCAGGAGGAACACCGGUGGCGAAGGCGGGUCUCUGGGCCGUAACUGACGCUGAGGAGCGAAAGCGUGGGGAGCGAACAGG